CUGCCCGUAGCUCAACCGGAUAGAGCACCGGCCUUCUAAGCCGGGGGUUGCGUGUUCGAGUCACGCCGGGCAGGCCA
rnacentral:tRNA from 1 species